rnacentral:rRNA from 1 species
UACGGAGGGUGCAAGCGUUAAUCGGAAUUACUGGGCGUAAAGCGUGCGCAGGCGGUUUGUUAAGUCUGUUGUGAAAUCCCCGAGCUCAACUUGGGAAUUGCAAUGGAUACUGGCAGGCUGGAGUAUGGUAGAGGAAGGUGGAAUUCCCGGUGUAGCAGUGAAAUGCGUAGAGAUCGGGAGGAACACCAGUGGCGAAGGCGGCCCCCUGGGCCGAUACUGACGCUCAGGCACGAAAGCGUGGGGAGCAAACAGG